rnacentral:misc_RNA from 1 species
AAGUCGUAACAAGGUUUCCGUAGGUGAACCUGCGGAAGGAUCAUUACCGAAUUGUCAACAAGGGUUGUUGCUGGCCCCUGCAUGGGGGCAUGUGCACGCUCUGUUUACACAUCCACUCACACCUGUGCACCCUCUGUAGUUCUAUGGCCUGGGUGGCCCUGUCAUCCUGCUGUGGUUCUACGUAUUUACACACACGCAUUGAAAUAAAGUCUAAUGGAAUGUAUGUCGCGUUUAACGCAAUGAAAUACAACUUUCAGCAACGGAUCUCUUGGCUCUC